GAAAAGCCACUCGAUUGAGUGGCUUUUUUGUUGUGAUACCUUUGACUCCCGAUAGUUAUCGGGACAGGGUGACAAAACAAUAAAAAGAUUGUAACGGAUAGCGGGAAGACAA
rnacentral:sRNA from 1 species